UUCUUGAUAACGGUACAAUAAUCUCUAUCGAAAUGUCGUACUCACAAAUAAAAAGAAGUUGUUAUCCAUAAAGUUUGUUCUAUAUUAAAUCAUUGGUCUCAC